CUACGGGUGGCUGCAGUGGGGAAUAUUGGACAAUGGGGGAAACCCUGAUCCAGCAAUGCCGCGUAUGUGAAGAAGGCCUGCGGGUUGUAAAGCACUUUCGGUUGGGAGGACUGCUUCUAGCACUAAUAUUGUUGGAAGUUGACGUUACCUUCAGAAGAAGCACCGGCUAACUCCGUGCCAGCAGCCGCGGUAAUACGGAGGUGUGCAAGCGGUAAUCGGAAUUACUGGGCGUAAAGCGCGCGUAGGCGGCUAGAUCAGUCGGGUGUGAAAGCCCCGGGCUUAACCUGGGAACUGCAUCCGAUACUGUCUAGCUAGAGUACAGGAGAGGAGAGUGGAAUUCCACAUGUAGCGGUGAAAUGCGUAGAUAUGUGGAGGAACACCAAUGGCGAAGGCAGCUCUCUGGCCUGAUACUGACGCUGAGGUGCGAAAGCGUGGGGAGCAAACAGGAUUAGAUACCCGCGUAGUC
rnacentral:rRNA from 1 species